rnacentral:rRNA from 1 species
GAUGAACGCUGGCGGCGUGCCUAAUACAUGCAAGUCGAGCGAACAGACGAGGAGCUUGCUCCUCUGACGUUAGCGGCGGACGGGUGAGUAACACGUGGAUAACCUAUCUAUAAGACUGGGAUAACUUCGGGAAACCGGAGCUAAUACCGGAUAACAUGUUGAACCGCAUGGUUCAACAGUGAAAGACGGUCUUGCUGUCACUUAUAGAUGGUUCCAGGCCGCAUUAGCUAGUUGGUAAGGUAACGGCUUACCAAGGCAACGAUGCGUAGCUGACCUGAGAGGGUGAUCGGCCACACUGGAACUGAGACACGGUCCAGACUCCUACGGGAGGCAGCAGUAGGGAAUCUUGCGCAAUGGGCGAAAGCCUGACGAAGCAACGCCGCGUGAGUGAAGAAGGUCUUCGGAUCGUAAAACUCUGUUAUUAGGGAAGAACAAAUGUGUAAGUAACUAUGCACGUCCUGACGGUACCUAAUCAGAAAGCCACGGCUAACUACGUG